GAAGAACAAGAGGCAGAAUUAAAGCUGGUUUGUGUAUUUAUUCGGACUCGAGUUUGUGUCUCUAUUUAAAGGACUGCUUAUAUAGAGAAGCCCGUAUCUAGGAUUUCUCUGUGACCCCAGCCAGGUGCUGUUUUAACGGGUAGGCGAGAAAUGAAUCAUAUCAGGAUUUGACUUAAAGACUCCAGCCUGUGACUCUCAUCAAGUAGACAGAAGAAUGGGCAGAUGUACCCAUGAAACAAUAUGUUUACACAUCUUCUGUGGAACUUUCUGCUUUCAACUUCCAACCUUGCACUAUUGUUAUAAGUGCAUAUACCUGUUCUGAAAAAGACUGUUCUUGAAGUUUAACUUCAACACAGAAAAGAUAAUUACAGCCACGCACAUCAAGUACUGUAUCUGCUGGUAUUUGAAGAUGGAAGGGCAGGUCUUAAAUCUGGACUACUCCUUAAGCCUGGAUCCCAGAAAGAAGAUCAGAACUGAUUAGAGAUGAUGUGAGCGACCACGAAACCACAAUCAAAUAAAC